rnacentral:rRNA from 1 species
UACGUAGGGGGCAAGCGUUAUCCGGAUUUACUGGGUGUAAAGGGAGCGUAGACGGCCAUUCAAGCCAGAUGUGAAAGCCCGGGGCUCAACCCCGGGACUGCAUUUGGAACUGUAUGGCUGGAGUGUCGGAGAGGCAGGCGGAAUUCCUAGUGUAGCGGUGAAAUGCGUAGAUAUUAGGAGGAACACCAGUGGCGAAGGCGGCCUGCUAGACGAUGACUGACGUUGAGGCUCGAAAGCGUGGGGAGCAAACAGG